rnacentral:rRNA from 1 species
UACAGAGGUCUCGAGCGUUAGGCGGAAUCACUGGGCUUAAAGCGUGUGUAGGCGGAUUGGUAAGUACUUUGUGAAAUCCCACGGCUUAACCGUGGAACUGCUUGGUAUACUGCCAGUCUUGAGCCAGCUAGGGGCUACCGGAACAAAUGGUGGAGCGGUGAAAUGCGUAGAUAUUCGGAAGAACACCAGUGGCGAAGGCGACUACCUGGUCUGGCAUUGACGCUCAUGUGCGAAAGCGUGGGGAGCAAACAGG